UACGGAGGGUGCAAGCGUUAUCCGGAUUUACUGGGUUAAAGGGUGUGUAGGCGGGCUAUUAAGUCAGUGGUGAAAUCUCCGGGCUCAACCCGGAAACUGCCAUUGAUACUAUUAGUCUUGAAUUUUGUUGAGGUAGGCGGAAUAAGUCAUGUAGCGGUGAAAUGCAUAGAUAUGACUUAGAACACCAAUUGCGAAGGCAGCUUACUAAGCAAAUAUUGACGCUGAGGCACGAAAGCGUGGGGGAUCAAACAGG
rnacentral:rRNA from 1 species